GAAGAACCCCAUGUUUGCUUCUGGUGAUGACGCAACAAUGGAACUGGUCUUACAUGAAUUGCCAUCUUUAAAUGUGGCUCAGCGUAUUAAAUCUCUGAACAGCCCAGUUCGCGAUGUUAGGUAUGCACACCUCCAAAAUUCGGUAUUGCUGGGUUGUUUGAGUGAGGAUAAACUGCAGCUUUGCUCACAUAAACUCCAAUGAGAAAAGGUGGCUCCGAAGACUCGUUAAAUCACCAGUAUGCUGGAUGCUUCAUGUGACCAAAACUUUGACUGUAUAGUUAAGCAUCUAAUGGUGUAGACAUAGCAUCUUUUUCUUUUGGUAGCUUUAGGACCCUGCUGGGAGUUUAG
rnacentral:misc_RNA from 1 species